CAGAAUAGUAGAAAAUAGUAAAAUGAGCAUCACAAGAAUGUCUUACACGGAUUUAACGAUUCAGUUUUGUUUUCUUUAGACAAGGUCUCACUGCAUUCCAGGCUGGCCUUGAACUCACUGUGUAGCCAAGACUGGCCUCUAACUCUUCCUGUCUCAGAUGCUUGAGUGCUGGGAUUACCAUUGUGGUCAACCACUUCCACCAUGGAGAAUGCAGAAUUUCCUGUGGGUGGGACCUGUGCAGCACAGCCUGGGUUCAGAGCACAGUGACCAGGCUCUGUGUUCCAGACACUGCAGGACAGGUGAGCUCGGGCUUCAGGUGCCCCAGCAGGCCCUCCACUCAGCAACCCACCACCUGCAGCCAGAUGCGACCCUGGGUGCCAGACUGUGGCACCUCGUGAAGUGCUAUCCUACCAGCCUUAAGCCCAGAGAUGCCACUACCUUCCUAGAACUUUCAGAGCAGUCAUGCAGAGUGUCCAGUCACCCAUUUGCCAUGUACAAUGGUGAAGAGAAUGUGCACAAAGUAUCACCCU
rnacentral:lncRNA from 1 species